rnacentral:rRNA from 1 species
UUGGUUAAGUUAGAAAGGGCGCACGGUGGAUGCCUUGGCACUAGGAGUCGAUGAAGGACGGCACUAACACCGAUAUGCCUCGGGGAGCUGUAAGUGAGCGAUGAUCCGGG